GACGAACGCUGGCGGCGUGCUUAACACAUGCAAGUCGAACGAAGUGGCGAACGGGUGAGUAACGCGUAAUCAACCUGCCCUUCAGAGGGGGAAAACAGUUGGAAACGACUGCUAAUACCGCAUACUGAAGGAGGGGAUUGCGUUGGAUUGGCUAGUUGGAGGGGUAACGGCCCACCAAGGCGCUUGUCAGUAGCCGGUGUGAGAGGAUGAUCAGCCAAAGUGGGACUGAGACACGUCCCAGACUCCUAGGGGAGGCGGCAGUGGGGAAUCUGCCGCAAUGGAGGAAAGUCUGACGGAGCAACGCCGCGUGAGUGAUGAAGGCCUUCGGGUUGGAAAGCUCUGUUAAUCGGGACGCGGUACCGGAAUAGAAAGCCACGGCUAACUACGUGCCAGCAGCCGCGGUAAUAC
rnacentral:rRNA from 1 species